UACAGAGGUGGCAAGCGUUGUUCGGAAUUACUGGGCGUAAAGGGUGCGUAGGUGGUGCUGUAAGUCAGGUGUGAAAUCUCGGGGCUCAACCCCGAAACUGCACUUGAUACUGCAGUGCUCGAGGACUGGAGAGGAGAUUGGAAUUCAUGGUGUAGCAGUGAAAUGCGUAGAUAUCAUGAGGAAGACCAGUGGCGAAGGCGGAUCUCUGGACAGUUCCUGACACUGAGGCACGAAGGCCAGGGGAGCAAACGGG
rnacentral:rRNA from 1 species